UACAGAGGUCUCAAGCGUUGUUCGGAUUCAUUGGGCGUAAAGGGUGCGUAGGCGGCGCGGUAAGUCGGGUGUGAAAUCUUGGAGCUUAACUCCGAAACUGCAUUCGAUACUGCCGUGCUUGAGGACUGGAGAGGAGACUGGAAUUUACGGUGUAGCGGUGAAAUGCGUAGAUAUCGUAAGGAAGACCAGUGGCGAAGGCGGGUCUCUGGACAGUUCCUGACGCUGAGGCA
rnacentral:rRNA from 1 species